AUGAACGCUGGCGGCGUGCCUAAUCCAUGCCAGUCGCGCGAACAGACGAGGAGCUUGCUCCUCUGACGUUAGCGGCGGACGGGUGAGUAACACGUGGAUAACCUACCUAUAAGACUGGGAUAACUUCGGGAAACCGGAGCUAAUACCGGAUAAUAUAUUGAACCGCAUGGUUCAAUAGUGAAAGACGGUUUUGCUGUCACUUAUAGAUGGAUCCGCGCCGCAUUAGCUAGUUGGUAAGGUAACGGCUUACCAAGGCGACGAUGCGUAGCCGACCUGAGAGGGUGAUCGGCCACACUGGAACUGAGACACGGUCCAGACUCCUACGGGAGGCAGCAGUAGGGAAUCUUCCGCAAUGGGCGAAAGCCUGACGGAGCAACGCCGCGUGAGUGAUGAAGGUCUUCGGAUCGUAAAACUCUGUUAUUAGGGAAGAACAAAUGUGUAAGUAACUAUGCACGUCUUGACGGUACCUAAUCAGAAAGCCACGGCUAACUACGUG
rnacentral:rRNA from 1 species